UCAGCCUCCCAAAGUGCUGGGUUUACAGGCGUGCACCACCAUGCCCAGCCCACAGGCUUUAAGUCCUGGCAACAGCUACUCUUGACUGGUUGGCAGCAUCACCGUGAGCACUAUGAGCAGGCAGUGCCACCAUGCCAAAGAGAAGUCCAGAAGCCUCCCAAGUCAUAGAAAAUGGACAAAAGUUGGGGUCACCUGAAUCCUUGUAAUUUAAUCCCAUUUUUGUUAUAAAAUAAAGAGUUACUAUGGUUUUUCACUUUCUUAUUCGCUGGGACUUCAAUAAACACCGAUAAUUAUUUGUA